UCGUGCAGUAAGUUGAUGGGGUCCCAGGUUAUUUUGUCCCGGGACUACGUCAACUACUAGCACGC
rfam:Lottia gigantea unplaced genomic scaffold LOTGIsca_39, whole genome shotgun sequence.